rnacentral:rRNA from 1 species
AAGGGCACCACAAGAACGCGUGGAGCAUGUGGCUUAAUUUGACUCAACGCGGGAAAUCUUACCGGGUCCGGACACACUGAGGAUUGACAGGUUUUUAUAAGACUAUAUGAUAAUUUUUUUUAAAAUUAUGUAUAGCAAUUCUUAUAUCAAAUAUGCUAGUCCUUUCAUGAUUGCGUGAUAGGUGGUGCAUGGCCGUUCUUAGUUCGUGGAGUGAUCUGUCUGCUUAAUUGCGUUUCACUAUAAUGAGUAUAUAUUGAAUACUUUGUUUGCACAUAAAGUUGCUGCAUUGUUUUUUAACUUUGCACCUUUAUUGUUGCACGGUAUUCUUUUAAAUAUACUCUGAAGGCAACGAACGUGACCGCAACAUCUUGUUGCAUAAUCUUAUUUAUGCUAACUAGAUGGACCGCUGGAUCUUUUCUAAACAGAGGAAGAUUGCGGCAAUAACAGGUCUGUGAUGCCCUCAGAUGUUCUGGGCUGCACACGUGCUACAAUGAUUAUUGCAGUAUGCAUCUAUAUAGGAUUUUUAUAAUCCGCAGGAAUUUAAAUAAAUAUAUAAUUUUUUAUAUAUUUAUCCUGUUUAACCAACUUUGAAAGUAAGUUGGUAAUCAAUUCGAAGUAAUGAUUUCCUUUUGCACAAUAAUAAUAUUUUAUUCGAUUAAUCUUAGUCUUUUUAGAUUUUGUAUUAAAGUUAAAAUAUGUGCUCCUUUAUUUCAUGGUGGGGACUGACCAUUGUUAAUUGUUGGUCACGUCUCAACUAGGAAUGCCUUGUACUGGUCUUGGUUCAACAAACCACCAGGAAUAUGUCCCUGCCCUUUGUACACACCGCCCGUCGCUCUUACCGAUGGACUAUUCUGUGAGUAUACAGGACGGGAACUCUAUCUUCUGAUUGAGUUCUAUAAGUAUGUACGCGAACAGUGUGGUCUAAAGGAAAGAGAAGUCGUAACAAGGCAUCAGUAGGUGAACCUGCAGAAGGAUCA